CCCUUAGAUGUUCUGGGCCGCACGCGCGCUACACUGACGAAGUCAGCGAGCAUGUCCUACGCCGACAGGUGCGGGGAAUCUUGUCAAACUUCGUCGUGAUGGGGAUUGAUUAUUGAAAUUCUUGAUCAUCAACGAGGAAUUCCUAGUAAGCGCAAGUCAGCAGCUUGCGUUGAUUACGUCCCUGCCCUUUGUACACACCGCCCGUCGCUACUACCGAUUGAAUGGUUUAGUGAGAUCUUCGGAUUGGCGCCACUGCGGCUCAGCAAUGGGCUCGGUGGAUGCCGAAAAGUUGAUCAAACUUGAUCAUUUAGAGGAAGUAAAAGUCGGAACA
rnacentral:rRNA from 1 species